rnacentral:rRNA from 1 species
CCUACGGGUGGCUGCAGUGGGGAAUAUUGGACAAUGGGGGCAACCCUGAUCCAGCCAUGCCGCGUGUGUGAAGAAGGCCCUCGGGUUGUAAAGCACUUUCAGUGAGGAAGAACGCCUGGUGGUUAAUACCCAUCAGGAAAGACAUCACUCACAGAAGAAGCACCAGCUAACUCCGUGCCAGCAGCCGCGGUAAUACGGAGGGUGCGAGCGUUAAUCGGAAUUACUGGGCGUAAAGCGCGCGUAGGUGGCUUGAUAAGCCGGUUGUGAAAGCCCCGGGCUCAACCUGGGAACGGCAUCCGGAACUGUCAAGCUAGAGUGCAGGAGAGGAAGGUAGAAUUCCCGGUGUAGCGGUGAAAUGCGUAGAGAUCGGGAGGAAUACCAGUGGCGAAGGCGGCCUUCUGGACUGACACUGACACUGAGGUGCGAAAGCGUGGGUAGCAAACAGGAUUAGAUACCCGUGUAGUC